rnacentral:rRNA from 1 species
AUGAACGCUGGCGGCGUGCUUAACACAUGCAAGUCGAACGAAGCACUUUAUUUGAUUUCCUUCGGGACUGAUUAUUUUGUGCCUGAGUGGCGGACGGGUGAGUAACGCGUGGGAACCUGCCUUGUACAGGGGGAUAACAGUUGGAAACGGCUGCUAAUACCGCAUAAGCGCACGGCAUCGCAUGAUGCAGUGUGAAAAACUCCGGUGGUAUAAGAUGGACCCGCGUUGGAUUAGCUAGUUGGUGAGGUAACGGCCCACCAAGGCGACGAUCCAUAGCCGACCUGAGAGGGUGACCGGCCACAUUGGGACUGAGACACGGCCCAAACUCCUACGGGAGGCAGCAGUGGGGAAUAUUGCACAAUGGGCGAAAGCCUGAUGCAGCGACGCCGCGUGAGCGAAGAAGUAUUUCGGUAUGUAAAGCUCUAUCAGCAGGGAAGAUAAUGACGGUACCUGACUAAGAAGCACCGGCUAAAUACGUG